rnacentral:tRNA from 1 species
CCGACCUUAGCUCAGUUGGUAGAGCGGAGGAAUGUAGAUCCUUAGGUCGCUUGUUUGAAUCCGGCAGAUCGGA